rnacentral:rRNA from 1 species
UACGUAUGGUGCAAGCGUUAUCCGGAUUUACUGGGUGUAAAGGGAGCGCAGGCGGCGCGGCAAGUCCGAUGUGAAAACCCCCGGCUCAACCGGGGGACUGCAUUGGAAACUACCGGGCUGGAGUGCCGGAGAGGUAGGCGGAAUUCCUGGUGUAGCGGUGAAAUGCGUAGAUAUCAGGAGGAACACCAGCGGCGAAGGCGGCCUACUGGACGGUGACUGACGCUGAGGCUCGAAAGCGUGGGGAGCAAACAGG